AGUGAACGCUGGCGGCAGGCCUAAUACAUGCAAGUCGAACGGCAGCACAGCAGAGCUUGCUCUGUGGGUGGCGAGUGGCGGACGGGUGAGGAAUACAUGGGAAUCUGCCCAGUCGUGGGGGAUAACGUAUGGAAACGUACGCUAAUACCGCAUGCGCCCUUUGGGGGAAAGCCGGGGACCUUCGGGCCUGGCGCGAUUGGAUGAGCCCAUGUUCGAUUAGCUAGUUGGCGGGGUAAAGGCCCACCAAGGCGACGAUCGAUAGCUGGUCUGAGAGGAUGAUCAGCCACACUGGGACUGAGACACGGCCCAGACUCCUACGGGAGGCAGCAGUAGGGAAUAUUGGACAAUGGGCGCAAGCCUGAUCCAGCCAUGCCGCGUGAGUGAAGAAGGCCCUCGGGUUGUAAAGCUCUUUUGUCCGGAAAGAAAAGCAUUCGGUUAAUACCCGGGUGUUCUGACGGUACCGGAAGAAUAAGCAACGGCUAACUUCGUG
rnacentral:rRNA from 1 species